rfam:Pan troglodytes isolate Yerkes chimp pedigree #C0471 (Clint) chromosome 7, whole genome shotgun sequence.
AACUUUUAUAGAAAUACAGUAUUUUAAUCUCAGUUUUGAAAUGGGGUUUACAUUGAGGCCAGGCAUUCUGGGCCGUAGUGUGCUAUUCCGAUCAGGUGUUCACACUAAGUUCAGCAUCAAUAUGGUGACCUCCUGGGAGCGGGGCACCACCAGAUUUCCUAAGGAAGGGUGAACCAGCCCAGGUCGGAAAUGGAGCAGGUCAUAAGUAACUCCUGUGCUGAUUAGUAGUGGGAUCGUGCCUGUGAAUAGCUACUGCAUUCCAGCCUGGGCAACAUAGUGAGACCUCAUCUCAAA